GCCCUGCGUAACCAAUAGAAUGUAGCAGAAUUGACACGCCUGACUUCUGAGGCUAGGUCAUAAGAUGCCGUGCAGCUUCCACCUUGGCUCUUAGAACACUGCUGUGGGAUGAGCCCACUGCCAUCAAAGAAGCUUAACUACUCUGAGCUGCCAUGAUGUGAGGGAGCCCACGCCAGCCACUUGGAAAGACCACAUGGAGAGAAAAAGAUGGCCAGCUGGUCCCUGGUUGUUCCGGUCAUCUCAGUUGAGGCAGCAGACGAGUCAGUGAAGAGGCCAUCUGGACGUCCAGCCCAGUCAAGCCUUGAGGUGACCUCAGCAGCAGCUGCUUUCUGACAGCAACUGCAUGAGAGACCCAAACGAGAACCUCCCAGCUGAGCCCAAUCAACACACAGCACUACGACGGAUAAAUUGUUUUAAGCCUCUUAGUUCUGGGGUGGUUCAUUAUGCAGCAGUAGAUACUGGAGGCAGAUGUGAACAGUGAAGGGAGACUGACCAGCCCCCCAGCCCCCACCCAGAGCACAAUGUCCUGCAGCCCAGACCCAUGGGGAGAGGGGUACUCCACCUCAGCUGGACAGCUGGCUGCAAUCUGAUAGGUCCGUCUCUCUCUGCUAAGAGGAGAAUAAACUCUUUGUGACCACAGAAGUGCAUCUGCCAAGGGCCCCACAGCCCCCAGGGCCCUGACAAAGGACAGCAGGGGAGAUUUUCUGGGAACUGGCUCACCACACACCUGAAUACUUCACAUCUGGCAGGACGGAGAGAAGCCAGAUCAAAGAGGCUGGCGACUCCGGGAAGCUGCUGGUCCUUGUCAUGGGGGACUGCUCAGGGGCACGCCACGGUCAGGAGUGGCUGCUGGCCCCUACUGACCUUUACGUCAACAGAGACUGCCUCUCUCUCUGUCUUUAUUUUCUUCUUUCUCUUUCUUGGUAGUUAAAGCAUUUGUAAAUUAAUAUUUUAUAUAGAUGGUACAUGUUACAUAGAUAACAUACGUUUUAUUAUAUACAUGUAAUUAAAAGCAACCAUUCCAUCCCACCCUUCCCACCCCUUACUCAGUUCUCUAGAGGCAAUCACUUAAGUUUUUGUUUCAAAUUUAUUUGAAUAGGUAAUACAGGCAUGAGGUAAAAAUUUCAAAGGUACCACCCAGCUCCUCUCCUCAAAGGCAACCACUCUCACCAAUGAAUUACAUCUUCCAGAGAAAUGCUAGGUCUAUGUCAGCAUGUAAUAUAAAGAUCCUUUAAAAAUAAUACAGAAACGGUAAUUUGCUACAAACACUGUUACGCACCUUGCUUUUUCACCUAACGCUGUAUCUCGAAGAUCUUCCAUAUCAGGACAUCAACCCCUGCUCUCUUAUUUUCGGAGGCUGCACAACAUUUCAUCGUAGGCAUGGAUCAUAACUGGUUUAGCCAGCUCCUACUGAGAGACAUCGAGGUUGAUGCCAACCUUUUGAUAUUUCAGUGAAGCAGCAAAGAACCUCGUCCUCACGUCUUCCCGCACAUGUGUGCCUCUACCUGUAAGGAUCCUGGAGUCAAAAGGACGCCUGCCACAACAUGGCUUGUCAAGUGGUGCCACGUCCGUACCUGGGAUCCGAACCAGUGAACCCCAGGCCUCCAAGAAGCAGAACGUGAGAACUUAAUCGCUGUGCCACGCGGCCAGCCCCAUCUCAUUUCUUUUCAGCACUGAAUAAUAUUCCAUUGUCUGGAGGUACCACAGUUUAUUUAUUCAUUCACCUACUGAAGGACAUCUUGGUUGCUUUCAAGUUUUGGCAAUUAUAAAUAAAGCUGCUAAAACAUUCGUGUGCAG
ensembl:lncRNA